rnacentral:rRNA from 1 species
UAACAGGAUUCCCUCAGUAACGGCGAGUGAAGAGGGAAGAGCUCAGUUUUGAAAUCUGGCAGUGAUUCACUGUCCGAGUUGUAAAUUGAAGAGAAUGUCAUCCACGCUGGACCACGUCUAAAUUGUAAUGAUCCACAGUCCUUUGAUGGAGUAUCAGAGAGGGUAAUAAUCCCGUCUUUAACGUGGACUGCCAGUGUUUCUGUGAUGCACUCUCUCAGAGUCGAGUAGUUUGGGAAUGCUGCUCUAAUGGGAGGUAAACUCCUUCUAAAGCUAAAUAUUGGCGAGAGACCGAUAGCGAACAAGUACCGUGAGGGAAAGAUGAAAAGAACUCUGAAAAGAGAGUCAAAUAGAACGUGAAAUUGCUGAAAGGGAAGCGUUUGGAGUCAGACGCGUCUUCAUGCAAUACAGCUCAGUGGCAGAGACUUUGAGACAAGUUACUUGAAGACGGGCCAGCACUCACGAAGACCAUUGAAGAAGGGGUCAUGGAAUGUAGCUCAGUGCUGAGUGAUUAUAGCCUUGAUUCAAAAGCAAUGUGUCCUUUGUGAGAGAUGGACAGCACGGACAACAGUUCAGUGCUUGAUUGACUGGCAUAAUGGCUCUAAGCGACCCGUCUUGAAACACGGACCAAGGAGUCUAACAUGUAUGCGAGUAUUAGAGUGAUUGAAACUCUGAAUGCGCAAUGAAAGUGUUUUUGACUGAGAAUCCUCUGGGAGGCAUCAGUACCCCGAGUCUGUUAGUCUUUGACUAAAGAUUUGGAGGUAGAGCAUAUAUGUUGGGACCCGAAAGAUGGUGAACUAUGCCUGAAUAGGGUGAAGUCAGAGGAAACUCUGAUGGAGGCCCGUAGCGAUUCUGACGUGCAAAUCGAUCGUAGAAUUUGGGUAUAGGGGCGAAAGACUAAUCGAACC